rnacentral:lncRNA from 1 species
AGGUUCAUUACUUGGGAACCUUCAUUACAACAAAAAGCAAUAGCCUAGCAUGCACGUGUGAACAUAAUUUACCCACAUGAAGUAUCUGUGCAGUUAGAUUUCUUACAGAAGGUAAGAGAAAAAAAGAAGAAGCAUUUCACUAGUGUAAAAGUUGUUUCUUCCAGGGCACAACAUAGACUCCUAAAAUAUCAAAUCUUGGUUACUCAUGGUUGCUCAGUAUCCAGUUGGCUGACAAUGAAAGAGGAAAUCCUCAUUACUAGUGGAUUUCUUCAGCCAUGGAUCAAGUGCUACAAUCAUAAGAUAAAUGGAGAAGCGAUUACCCUUGUAUAUAUUUGGAAGUGUAUGGGUAGAGUAGGCUUGGAGUGGCUGACGAGGCUGUUUAAUAUUAUUUUUAGGACGAAGAGGAUGCCAGAUGAGUGGAGGUGGAGUACAGUAGUUCCGUUGUAUAAGAACAAAUUGAUAUCUAGAGUUGUAACAAUUAUAGGGGUAUCAAAUUAGUGAGUCAUACCAUGAAAGUUUGGGAGAAGGUGGUUGAAGCAAGGGUGAGGAGGUCGGUGUCUAUAUCCAACAACCAGUUUGGGUUUAUGUCGGGUCGUUCUACUACAGAAGCUAUACACCUUAUUAGGAUACUGGUGGAACAAUAUAGGGAGAGGAAGAAGGAUCUGCACAUGGUGUUUAUUGAUCUGGAGAAAGCGUAUGAUAAGGUUCCUAGAGAAGUUCUCUGGAGAUGCUUGGAGGCUAAAGGUGUGUCGGUUGCCUACAUUAGGGCGAUUAAGGACAUGUAUGAUGGGGCUAAGACUCGGGUUAGGACAGUAGGAGGCGACUCUGCGCAUUUCCCGGUUGUUAUGGGAUUUCACCAAGGUUCUGCGCUCAGCCCGUUCUUGUUUGCCCUGGUGAUGGACGCGUUAACACAUCAUAUUCAAGGGGAGGUGCCAUGGUGUAUGUUAUCCGCUGAUGACAUAGUUCUGAUUGAUGAGUCGCGAGCCAGUGUUAACGAGAGGCUGGAGGCCUGGAGAUAAGUUCUUGAGUCUAAGGGUUUCAAGUUGAGCAGGACAAAGACGGAAUACCUGGAGUGCAAGUUCAACGCUGAGUCGAGCGAAGUGGACGUGAAUGUGGGGCUUGUAUCGCAGGUCAUCCCGAGUAGAGGCAGUUUCAAGUACCUUGGGUCAGUUAUCCAAGGGGGAGGAGAGAUCAACGAGAAUGUCACACACUGUAUUAGAGUGAGGUGGAUGAAGUGGAGGUUAGAAUCUGGAGUCUUGUGUGAUAAGAGAGUGCCACCGAUACUCAAAGGUAAAUUUUAUAGAGUGGUGGUUAGACCAACCAUGAUGUAUGGGGCUGAGUAUNNNNNNNNNNNNNNNNNNNNNNNNNNNNNNNNNNNNNNNNNNNNNNNNNNNNNNNNNNNNNNNNNNNNNNNNNNNNNNNNNNNNNNNNNNNNNNNNNNNNNNNNNNNNNNNNNNNNNNNNNNNNNNNNNNNNNNNNNNNNNNNNNNNNNNNNNNNNNNNNNNNNNNNNNNNNNNNNNNNNNNNNNNNNNNNNAUGAUGAUAUUCGGGAGAAGGUGGGCGUGGCUCCCAUUGAUAACAAGAUGCGGGAAGCAAGGCUUAGAUAGUUCGGGCACGUUCAGAGGAGAAGCCCAGAUGCUCCGGUAAGGAGGUGUGAGCGGAUGGCUUUAGAAGGCUCGAGAAGAGGUAGAGGGCGGCCUAAGAAGCAUUGGGGAGAGGUAAUCAGGCAGGACAUGGCGAGGCUUCAGAUUUCCGAGGACAUAACCCUUGAUAGGGAGCUAUGGAGGUCGAGUAUUAGGGUUAUAGGUUAGGAGGUAGUUGAGUCUUUCCUUUGUUCGUACAUUUGUGAGGCUAGCUUGGUAGGGUUUUUGUCUGAGACAGCUCGUGGCAAUGUUGUGUCUUACUACUCUUUCAUUUUUUCAUAGAGCCGCCUCUAUUUAAUGGUUACCGCUUUUGCUCUGCACCUAUUUUCUCGCUUUCAUGAUGUUCUUAAUUUUUUCUUAUGGUAUCUGUUGGUGGAGUUGAUAUUAUCUCUUUUCUCUUCUUUUCUUUUCUUUUCUUCUUCUUGAGCCGAGGGUCUUUCGGAAAUAACCUCUAUACUCCCCGGGUAGGGGUAAGGUCUGCGUACAUACUACCCUCCCCGGACCCCACUAGUGAGAUUUUACUGGGUCAUUGUUGUUGUUGCUGUUGAUGGUUUCAUGAGGCGGCUUCAAACCUAAUAAACUACCAUCUGCUCCUUGAAGAGCCAAUCCACUUGUCUAGGUCCAAAGUUAUACAACUACAUUUUUGCAGCAAACAAGCGAUCAGGCACAUUUAGCUUCCAAUAUGAGGGGAGGGAGGGUGAGGUGAACCCUUGAAAGAAAAGAAGGAAAAAGUAAAAUUAACCCCUUGACAUUGGUUACAGGUCGGGCGGUCGGGCAUCUUAAGACCAUCCAAAGACUUUUUUUGACAUUCUUAGUUUCUCCUGGAAAAAAAUUAACUUAAUUCCGAGAGGCCCAAUUUGAGACUAAAAUUGACUAAACCAUCCCCAACCUAUCAGCUCCCAUACUCGCAAAAGUCUUUUUCUUAUUACAUUGAUAUUGUUGAUGUGCAAACAUAUCCAAUAGACCGAGAUCACUUGGUAGGUCUGAAUAUAAGACCCAGAAAUCGUCCAGGCAGGCAAUUUGUAUCAUACAUGAAAUCCUACCUUUGAUUAUACCUGGCCUUUGAUACUUAAAACCAUAAAUCCUAAAGACAACUUUCCUUAUAUAUCAUCAAGUAGUAUAUAAAUGCUCAAUGCUCAGCUAAAUUAGUUUGUCAUGAAGAUAGAAUUAUGGAAAACACAAAAUGAAACAUAAGUUAAUUUAAAGAUCACAUCAAAAUUACCAUCUUAGCAACUUUCUUCCAGAAGUUAGGCGUUGCCUUUGCCGCGAAAUAAGCAUUCUGCAAUGCCAUCUCCUGUUUGUUAGUCCACCCGUUAGCACUACUGCUCUCCUCCGUUCCUUGGUUAGUUCUCUUUCUCUUCAAUCAUGUGCCUUUCUUUCCCGUGCCAUUAUCAUCCUUUCCAUGGCCCGCAACUUCAGAUGAUGGGCCAGCUAAACUUUCUUUACUAGUCUCUUGAGCAUGUGUAGGGAUCUUUGGCUCAUUCUUUAAAUCACCCUUUCUUUUCUCAACUGAAUUGUCAGUGGAAGCACAACCCAGUACUUUACUGACAGGUGGGUUUCGAGUAGAACUACGUGUAACCCUUCUCACUAUACUAUUAACCGCGCCAUUAUUCUGCAGCUUUACAAUGCUCAAUCUUGACGACCUUCCCAGUCUAGUACUGGAUUUUUGAGAGCUUCAAUCUGAUUUUUGUGGGCUUCGUUAGCAGAAAUCGCAGUAGCAGCGGCAGUAAACUUGGGGAGAUCUUCUCACAGCGAGUGUUGGUUUUUCUUGGUCUCUCGAGUUUCUAUGGGGCAUUUUCGCAAACAGAUAGGUGACAGAAAUGAAGUCGGGGCACACACCUACUUGGGAGGGAAAACUUCAUGAUAUGAUAUUUCGAAAUUGUGAGCACGGGGAAAAUCAAGGUCCGACAAACUAGAUUCCGGACUUCGUAAAAAAAAAAUAGGGAUACUAGACCCGUAGUGAGGGCCCAACUGUAACGGCCUUAAGAUUGGUGUGGAAAUUACACCAGGUAGCCACUUUUAAGUAUGUUGUUUAAAAUAUAUCCAUAGUUUACAAUGUAUCUAAAGAUUAGCCAAUUCGCUCAAACUUUAGGAUAUCGUGUCGUAAAGUUCGAAAAUGGUGUCCAAAAAUCCGAAUCUUAUGUCCUGAAUUUUAAUUAACAUUUUAAAAAUUCAGGGCACUUAGUCCUACAUUUCAAAUUAGUAGUUUAGAAAUUCAGGCACUUAGUCCUGAAUUUCAAAUUAGCAGCUCAAAAGACACUAAGUCCUAAGUUUCAAAUUAACAACUCAAAAACUCAGGAUACUUAGUCUUGGGCUAAUUGGCUAAUCUUUAAAUAUAUUAUAGAUUGUGGAGAUAUUUUACUUAAAACGGCCUUAAACGUGGCUAGUGGUGCACCUUGUGGUUCUCAAUUUUGAAUGGGUUAUCACUCUUGGGUAUUUUUCUUUUUCCCUUUCUCUUUUUUUUUUCCAACUAAAUCUACAAGUUUAAAUUAUACACAUUGUAGAAAAUAACUACAUAAUUAGAUCACUUAUAAGGUAAAAUACGAGUAAAUUUCUAAACUUAAGUUAUAAUACUGACGUGAAAAGAUUUUUUUACACUAUCAUGUGAUUUUACUUAUGAUAGCAAAGUAGUUUCUAUUUUCACUUGAUUAAUAAUUAAUGUUUAUCAAGAGAUCUUACUUGUAAUUACCUAGUAAGUGACUUGAUUAUGUAAUUAUUUUCUAUUACGUUAAUGCAGUAGACAAGAGUGGGUUGCUCUAUGGUAAGCACCCUCCACUUCCAACCAAGAGGUUGUGAGUUCGAGUCACCCCAAGAGCAAGGUGAGGAGUUUUUGGAGGGAAGGAGCCGAGGGUCUAUCGGAAACAGCCUCUCUACCCCAGGGUAGUGGUAAGGUUUGCGUACACACUACCCUCCCGAGAUCCCACUAGUGGAAUUAUACUGGAUUGUUGUUGUUAGAACUCAAACUCAAAUUUUCAUAAUAAUCAUUAUUUAAUUGAUAAUCUAUCUACUCACCGGUUAAACUAUAGGGAUACUAAUAGUCGGGUUAAUGGGUUCACUCAUCGGGACUUAUAACGUCGAGUGUCAGUCACGGCCUUCGAAUUUUGGACUGUAGCUAUGAGUCUAUGGAAGGAAUAAUGAACAAAGUUCAAAUGUUAAACUCCAAUUGUCAGUCCAAACUUAAAUUGUGAUUCCCUAGAGAAAGGUGAAUGAAUCUGGCACAACAUAUAGGGAGAGUGGUUUCUUGAAAUUCACAAGCGGACUUUGUUUUCAUAUAUUUUUCUUCUUACUUGAUGUUUUAGGACUCUUUUGUAACUUGAGGUCAACGUCUACAAACCUGUAUCAAAGAAGAUCGUUGAUAUGAAACCAAAACAGGGAAAAGAAAAUGAAAGAAACACAAAAAUCCAUGGGAGCAAGAACAAAAGGUAACGUUUGGAUACGUAUCUGUAUCCAAUCCAAACACUCACUUUUAAGUCUUAACUACUCUCUAGUUUUAUAAAUAUCGGUGCAAUUUCAACAUAAACAAUUCUUAGAAAAAAAUUGUUUCUGUGAUGAAAAUUGAAAUAUCUCUAUGACUUGUUAGAGUUAAGUAGCAGAAUUUACAUUGUUCUGUUGCAUCUUAGAAAUGAACUUGCGUCUGCAUUUCUGCAAAGCUAAAGAACUUGAAGAGUGAUAAUGCUUACACUUCAAAUAACAUAAAUUCAUCUACCGCAUCCAUGUUGUCUAACAACCUUACAAAUGCGUAUGUAUCAUCUUAGAACAACAGCGGCUGGAGUUCCAAGUAGAAAACUCAAAUAACAGACACAUGGCACACGUUGAGCGCGGUCAAAUUGUAAUAUUAGGAUUUAGGACUUAAUUUCAUUGACGUAGGUAGGCUCAUUACUUGGGAACCUUCAUUACAACAAAAAGUAAUAGCCUAGCAUGCACGUGUGAACAUAAUUUACCCACAGGAAGUAUCUGUGCAGUUAGAUUUCUUACAGAAGGUAAGAGAAAAAAAGAAGAAGCAUUACACUAGUGUAAAAGAGGUUUCUUCCAGGGCACAACAUAGACUCCUAAAAUGUCAAAUCUUGGUUACUCAUGGUUGCUCAGUAUCCAGUUGGCUGACAAUGAAAGAGGAGAUCCUCAUUACUAGUGGAUUUGUUCAGCCAUGGAUCAAGUGUUACAAUCAUAGGAUAAAUGGAGAAGCGAUUACCCUUGUAUAUAUUUGAC